UGUGAAGCUUUCCUUGUAUAAAGCUCAAUUUUUCCAUGACCACGGAAGUAAACAUCCUGAUGCAUUCUUGUCAUGUGAAUGUUGAGAGCGUGUUCAUUUUUGAAAUCUCCUUUCUGACAGACAUAUUCUACAGGAUCAGCUGAGAUGUAAUCAAUCACUGGAUUAUUUAAUGGAUAGGCUUAUUGGGCAUAUAUUUGGAUAUCUCUGUCAUCAACAUGGAAUGUAUGACUUCAUCUUUUAUACAGUCGGGUUCGGGGUUUCGGGCGGCCAUGACGAAUUUCGGCAAGAUUUUACCCCAGUGAAAAAGGCUUGUAAUCCACAGUUCCUCAACCUGGAAGAUAUGUUUUGUUCCUAACCAUCUAUAAUCCAUUCUCUAUGAAGUGAAGCCUGGCUGCUCUUCCUUUGGAAAUACACAGUUAGUCAAUCAACAUAGAAACACACAAACUUGAAGGAUAUUCUAGUGAGGGCUUAUGGAAAUGAUCUAUGUCUACUCUCAGAAUGGUGAAAGACUAUCAGAUUAUGCAAAGACUAACAGGAUAUCCUCUCUUGGAACACUGAAACAAGAAAAUCAAACAGGAGGUGGAUGGAGGAUUUAAGAAGCAUGGUGAAAGACUAUCAGAUUAUGCAAAGACUAACAGAAUAUCCUCUCUUAAAACACUGAAACAAGAAAAUCAAACAGGAUGGAGGAUUUAAGAAGCACAUAGAUAAAUAUGAUUUCCAACCAAUUUAAGUACGAUCAUAGACUGUGCUUUACAGGAUGACAAAGAAAGGACCCAGGAUAGUAUCUUUUACUGUCAGACA